GCCAGCAUGGCAUAGUGGUUUGCAUGUUGGACUACAACUCUGGAGACCAAGGUUCGAUUCCUUGCUCAGUCA
rnacentral:tRNA from 1 species